AUGGAGACAGGCGAGGCUCUGGCUCUUACAGCCUCGCAGCCCUGCCCCUCUGGAGCUCCUUCCACCUGGUGGGGCUCUUGGUGCCCUCCCCGUGGGGGAAGGGAAGCAACAUGCAUUGGCACUACUGCACAUGGGCACUGGCCAUGCUGGGCCCUCCUAGCUCCUUAGACUCGCACCACCUGCUGCAUAUUCAGACCUGCUAGGAGUCACUUAUAGAAGAAGUGGCAGGCACAGAGAGGGAGAGCAACCUGCCCAAGGCCACACAGCUACCAAGGAAGGGCAGUGUCUGGCUCUGGAGCUGACUCUACCAGGCUGGACUGGGUCCCCUAGGUCAUGACCCAAAGGCCUCCAAGGGGUUGGGGGCUCUGGGGUGCUUGGUGUCUGGAUGUAGGAGAUGUCUCCGACAUCAGCAUAGCCAUCCCCACUGCCCUGACUGGCUGUGUAACUCUGGGUGAGCCUCCCUAGUUUGGGCCUCAGUUUCCUCAUCUGAAAAGGAAGAGGUUGCCAUGUGGUAGGAGAGCUCCUGUCAUGAUGCUCGAUCCCGCUGGGCGCUGCGCUGUGCUCCUGCUGACUCCCAGGACGCCCUCCUGCGAGCACCCAGCACUCUUCUCUCUGCCUCGCAUCAGGCCUGCCCCCUCUCCCUGCGGCCUCCUCCUUCCCAGGGCCCCCACACGCCAGCUCCCGGAGGGCAGAGGCUGCAGAGCAGGGGUGGGGAGCAGAGAGCCGAGGUCUCCGCCCAGGCUUCAGCAUGGGCCCUGUCCCCGGUGGGGAGCAGCCCUGUCCCACCCAGCGAGGCCUGUGCCUCCAUGGGGGAUGACCGCCGUCUGUCCAGACGCUGUGGGACAGACAUCCGGGGCGGACACCUGGGAGCGAGCGCUGGGAGACAGGAGGAGGCAGGGCGGCACCUUGUGGCUCUCAGUUCACCACCUUCCUCUGAGUCCCUCUGAGUCCUGGCCCGAGUCCCCUCUGCCUGUGCCUGGAGGACUCCCAAACAGGGAGGAGGAGGGGGAGGAGCGCGCAGUCUGGCAGUGGUGAUGCAGUGGGCCUUCCGUGCAGAGCGAGAUGUCUCCAGCAGGUGA